ensembl:snRNA U6 U6 spliceosomal RNA
GUGCUUGCUUUGUCAGCACCUAUACCAAAAUCGGAACAAUACAGAGAUGAUCACGGCCUCUGUGCAAGGAUGACACACAGAUUCGUGAAGUGUUUCAUGUUUUU